GACGAACGCUGGCGGCGUGCUUAACACAUGCAAGUCGAACGGAAAGGCCCUGCUUGCCGGGUACUCGAGUGGCGAACGGGUGAGUAACACGUGGGUGAUCUGCCCUGCACUUCGGGAUAAGCCUGGGAAACUGGGUCUAAUACCGGAUAGGAGCCAUUUUUAGUGUGAUGGUUGGAAAGUUUUUUCGGUGUAGGAUGAGCUCGCGGCCUAUCAGCUUGUUGGUGGGGUAAUGGCCUACCAAGGCGGCGACGGGUAGCCGGCCUGAGAGGGUGGACGGCCACAUUGGGACUGAGAGACGGCCCAGACGCCUACGGGAGGCAGCAGUGGGGAAUAUUGCACAAGGGGCGCAAGCCUGAUGCAGCGACGCCGCGUGGGGGAUGACGGCCUUCGGGUUGUAAACUCCUUUCGCUAGGGACGAAGCUUUUUGUGACGGUACCUAGAUAAGAAGCACCGGCUAACUACGUG
rnacentral:rRNA from 1 species